rnacentral:rRNA from 1 species
GAUGAACGCUGGCGGCGUGCCUAAUACAUGCAAGUCGAGCGAACGGACGAGAAGCUUGCUUCUCUGAUGUUAGCGGCGGACGGGUGAGUAACACGUGGAUAACCUACCUAUAAGACUGGGAUAACUUCGGAAAACCGGAGCUAAUACCGGAUAAUAUUUUGAACCGCAUGGUUCAAAGUUGAAAGACGGUCUUGCUGUCACUUAUAGAUGAAUCCGCGCUGCAUUAGCUAGUUGGUAAGGUAACGGCUUACCAAGGCAACGAUGCAUAGCCGACCUGAGGGGGUGAUCGGCCACACUGGAACUGAGACACGGUCCAGACUCCUACGGGAGGCAGCAGUAGGGAAUCUUCCGCAAUGGGCGAAAGCCUGACGGAGCAACGCCGCGUGAGUGAUGAAGGUCUUCGGAUCGUAAAACUCUGUUAUUAGGGAAGAACAUAUGUGUAAGUAACUGUGCACAUCUUGACGGUACCUAAUCAGAAAGCCACGGCUAACUACGUG